rnacentral:rRNA from 1 species
CAGUCGCCGCGGUAAUACUUAGGUGGCAAGCGUUGUCCGGAAUUAUUGGGCGUAAAGGGCUCGCAGGCGGUUUCUUAAGUCUGAUGUGAAAGCCCCCGGCUCAACCGGGGAGGGUCAUUGGAAACUGGGAAACUUGAGUGCAGAAGAGGAGAGUGGAAUUCCACGUGUAGCGGUGAAAUGCGUAGAGAUGUGGAGGAACACCAGUGGCGAAGGCGACUCUCUGGUCUGUAACUGACGCUGAGGAGCGAAAACGUGGGGAGCGAACGGGAUUAGAUACCCGAGUAGUCCCUGUCUCUUAUAC